rnacentral:rRNA from 1 species
UUUUACCGAGUGGCGGACGGGUGAGUAACGCGUGGGUAACCUGCCUCAUACAGGGGGAUAACGGUUAGAAAUGACUGCUAAUACCGCAUAAGACCACAGCACCGCAUGGUGCGGGGGUAAAAACUCCGGUGGUAUGAGAUGGACCCGCGUCUGAUUAGCUGGUUGGUAAGGUAACGGCUUACCAAGGCGACGAUCAGUAGCCGACCUGAGAGGGUGACCGGCCACAUUGGGACUGAGACACGGCCCAA